AUUUAGAUAGCUUAAACUUAGAGCAUAAUAUUGAAGAUAUUAGGGUGAUUUUAACAUCUUUAAAUA
rnacentral:tRNA from 1 species